UAUAUAUAUAUAUUUUAAGUUUUUGGCACCUUAUCUUUUGGGAGGCAAUCUUUUUUGUAAGAUAUGCUUUCAUAUAUGAUAAUUUUUUUAUUUGUUGUGCGAGUUUUAUACAAGUGUGAUCUUUAAACAUUUUUUUUCGCGUUGUGAUGCUUCGGCUAUACUCCAAGAGAAGGGGGUGAUGAUGCCCGAGCGGUGAAAUGUUGUUGAAAAUCUAUCAAGAUUCAGAAAAUACCAUUAAGGCUAAGUGUUCUUUUACUUGGAGCUUCCUGAAAUUUCAAAUGCAUUGAAAGUUUGGAAUCAGGAGAUCUUUCUUUUACUUUGAGCAUAUUAAGCUUGCAUAGAGACUUGGAAUGAAGUGAUCCAAAGUCGUCUCUUUUCAUCUGAUUAUAUCCUUUUCUGGAGCAGAAUUAGCAUUAAAUCUUGCCCUUGUACCUAUCUAUGAGCUAUCUUUUCAAACUUGUAGAAAAUUUGUAAGUUAUGUAUCGUUUACUUCACUUUAUAUUUUUCAUUUUGGGAGCUACUGCCAAGUUUGAAUACUGGACACUUGGAAGAAUUUU